rnacentral:rRNA from 1 species
CUCCGGGUUGAUCCCGCCGGACCUGACUGCUAUCGGAUUGGUACUAAGCCAUGCGAGUCAUUGUAGCAAUACAAGGCGGACAGCUCAGUAACACGUAGUCAACCUAACCUAUGGACGUGGAUAACCUCGGGAAACUGAGAAUAAACCGCGAUAGAUCAUUAUGCCUGGAAUGGCUUAUGGUUCAAACAAUUUAUUGCCGUAGGAUGGGACUGCGGCCUAUCAGCUUGUUGGUGAGGUAAUGGCCCACCAAGGCUAUAACAGGUACGGGCUCUGAGAGGAGAAGCCCGGAGAUGGGUACUGAGACACGGACCCAGGCCCUAUGGGGCGCAGCAGGCGAGAAACCUUAGCAAUGUGCGAAAGCACGACUGGGUCAGUCCGAGUGAUUCCUGAUAAAGGAGUCUUUUAUCUGUCCUAAAAGCACAGGUGAAUAAGGGGUGGGCAAGUCUGGUGUCAGCCGCCGCGGUAAUACCAGCACCUCGAGUGGUCAGGACGUUUAUUGGGCCUAAAGCAUCCGUAGCCGGCUCUGCAAGUCUUCGGUUAAAUCCACCUGCUCAACAGAUGGGCUGCUGGAGAUACUACAAAGCUAGGGAGUGGGAGAGGCAGACGGUAUUCAGUGGGUAGGGGUAAAAUCCUCUGAUCCAUCGAGGACCACCAGUGGCGAAGGCGGUCUGCCAGAACACGUUCGACGGUGAGGGAUGAAAGCUGGGGGAGCAAACCGGAUUAGAUACCCGGGUAGUCCCAGCUGUAAACGAUGCAAACUCGGUGAUGCAUUGGCUUAUGGCCAAUGCAGUGCCGCAGGGAAGCCGUUAAGUUUGCCGCCUGGGAAGUACGGACGCAAGUCUGAAACUUAAAGGAUUUGGCGGGGAGCA